rnacentral:rRNA from 1 species
UACGUAGGGACCAAGCGUUGUUCGGAUUUACUGGGCGUAAAGCGCGCGUAGGCGGUUUUGCAAGCCAGAGGUGAAAUGCCUGAGCUCAACUUAGGAAUUGCCUUUGGGACUGCGAGGCUUUGAGGACUGGAGAGGUGAGUGGAAUUCCCAGUGUAGAGGUGAAAUUCGUAGAUAUUGGGAAGAACACCGGUGGCGAAGGCGGCUCACUGGCCAGUUUCUGACGCUGCAGCGCGAAAGCGUGGGGAUCAAACAGG